CGCUGGGUCGCCAAGCAACUCUGGGCCGGGGGGGGCGGGCAGCGCGCUUCUGCAAACACAAAAAGGAAUAUGGGGGCCUCACACGUCCCAUAUCCUUUUGCACUGACUUUGCUAAGACCAUCAAACGUGGUUUUCACCCUCCUUUCGUUUCAUUGCCUUCCUGGGAACUUCCAAAACUCCAACCAUCAGCCACUCUUUUCCUUUCUUUUCUGCGCAACCGCUAAGCUGAAAAGGUUUGGGGGACAAGCGUCCUACUUUAUUUCCAAACACUGCAUGUUCUGUAGCUUCACACACUUCUCGUGCAUGCCCCCCCACCCCUCCCAAAAAUGAAUGCUGGGAACUGUAGUUUGCCAAGGGCGGUGUUUCUGCAGCCCUCGUGCUAAAAAGCCCACAAAGCUGCCGAGGGAACCUAUGGUUCCCAGGAUUCUUUGGAGCAAGUCACAUGUUUCCCUCUCAGAGCUACAAAUCUCUGCACCCUUAACCAAAGAGAGUUCUCAAGAUUAUUGGGGGUGGGGAUCAUAUGGCUUAACUGUUUGUUGGGUGUGCAUUAAAUGUACAGUUGUGAUCUGCCCUUAAUGUCAGUUGCUGUGAUUUCCUGAAGGCAUAAGUAUUGUCUUAUUAACAAAUCAAUUCAUAUCUUAUUUUUCUUAGGAGAGAGAAAGAGGGUGAUGCUCCUACUACGGGACUGGCAAUUCUCUCCACAAAAUAUAUGAGUGAUAGCCAACUAAGUCGGGGAGGGGCAACCUGCUCCCCUCCCAAUGCUGUUAGACCCAAACUCCUCUUGUCCCUAAGCAGUGGACAUGCUGGCAGAGGCGGAUGGACACCGGGCUCCAACAACAUCGAGAGGGCCAGAGUUUUCCUGCCCCUAAAUGAAGACAUACUCUGAGUAAAACCAUUUAAAUCAAAGCACUGAAGAAGUGCAUUUAAUUUGGAUAUAUGUUUCUGUGUGUACACUUGUGAACUUGCUAACCCUGGCACAGUUUAGCUCUUCCCUGGAUGCUGCAAGUGGGAAGCCCAACAGAGUGCAGACUGAUACUCCAGCUCAGUCACUGAGGACAUCUGCAGAAGCUUCUUUGGUCAUUUCCCAAGUUGGUGAGGCUCCUUUGACAACAUCAAAAAACUGAGCCUUUAGUGUCACUGGCCCAGUCCUGUGGAACUCUCUGCCACUAGAGAUUCAGUAGGUGCUUUCUGUGCUAACUUUAAAAUGCUUGCUGAAAACUUUUUUUAUUCUGCCAGACCCAUGCAGAGAAUUACAAAUACAUCCUUCCACAAUAGUUAAUUGAUGUCUGCUUUUAACUGUUUGUAGGUUGUAUUGUAUGCUUUUAUGUUUAUAUUACUGUAAACCGCUUUGAUAUCUUUUUAAAUGAUGUACUGGUUUGACUUCACCCUAUGUGCACC